rnacentral:sRNA from 1 species
UGCUUCUCAAAACUUUGAUGGUGAAGCUGAAGUCCGUAUGAGCCUUUUGCUUUCUAUCUUCUAACAAGGAAACACUACUUAGGCUUUCAAGAUCCGAUUGUGAUUCUAGAUCUUAUACUCAAUCAUACACAUGACAUCUAGUCAUAU